GUAGGGAAUCUUCCACAAUGGGCGGAAAGCCUGAUGGAGCAACGCCGCGUGUGUGAUGAAGGGUUUCGGCUCGUAAACACUGUUGUAAGAGAAGAAUGACAUUGAGAGUAACUGUUCAAUGUGUGACGGUAUCUUACCAGAAAGGAACGGCUAAAUACGUGCCA
rnacentral:rRNA from 1 species